AGCGAACGCUGGCGGCAGGCCUAACACAUGCAAGUCGAACGGACCUUUCGGGGUUAGUGGCGGACGGGUGGGUAACACGUGGGAACGUGCCUUUAGGUUCGGAAUAGCUCCUGGAAACGGGUGGUAAUGCCGAAUGUGCCCUUCGGGGGAAAGAUUUAUCGCCUUUAGAGCGGCCCGCGUCUGAUUAGCUAGUUGGUUGAGGUAACGGCUCACCAAGGCGACGAUCAGUAGCUGGUCUGAGAGGAUGGCCAGCCACAUUGGGACUGAGACACGGCCCAAACUCCUACGGGAGGCAGCAGUGGGGAAUCUUGCGCAAUGGGCGAAAGCCUGACGCAGCCAUGCCGCGUGAAUGAUGAAGGUCUUAGGAUUGUAAAAUUCUUUCACCGGGGACGAUAAUGACGGUACCCGGAGAAGAAGCCCCGGCUAACUUCGUG
rnacentral:rRNA from 1 species